CGCUUCUCGUCGAGAAGCAAUCCAAAUCGGUAACGAGGAAUAUGAAGUCUUGACCUUUACUGGAUCACAGGCUUCUCAUCAAUGGCGACCCAAAACGUCACCACCCCUUCGAACCCACCGACCCUUUUGGCUACCAUCGACAUGGGCACCAACUCCUUCAAGAUGGUCAUCGUCCGCGCCCACCCGACCGGUAAAUUCCUCGUCGUCGACCGCCUUAAAGAACCCGUCGUCCUUGGCCGCGACAUGCCCACCUUCACCGGCGCCCCCGCCGCCCCCGCCGCCAUCUCCAGCUCCUCUCAAUCCCGAGCUCUCCAAGCUCUCAGCGAAUUCCAGCAAAUCUUAAACGCCCACAAAGUCGACCAUACCCGCCUCGUCGCCACCUCCGCCGUCCGAGACGCCGGGAACAGAGCUGAGUUUUUGCGCAGAAUCAGAGACGAACUUGGGUUUGAAGUUGAUAUUCUGUCUGGGGAAGAAGAAGGAAGGCUCGUGUAUCUUGGGGUUCUCCAAUUCCUCCCUGUUUUCCACAAAUCGGUCUUAAUCGUCGAUAUCGGAGGUGGGUCUACUGAAUUUGUGAUCGGGAAGGAAGGAAAAGUUGUCUAUGUCAAGUCCCUGAAGUUGGGGCAUGUUUGUUUAACCGAAGGGUUUUUGAAAAAAGAUGGAAUUUUAGAGUUUGAAAGCAGAAGGGGUUUAGGGAAUCAUGAAAUUUCAGAGCUUGGGCGUGUAUAUUUAAGUGAAUCUGAACCUGGGUCUUUGAGCAAAGGGGUUUUAGAGAAUGAUGGGAUUUCAAAAUCAGGGGAUGCAGAGAUUGAUGGGAUUUCAAGAAUGCGCCGGCAUAUUAGGAUGGUGAUUCAAGAGUCUGGGUUGAUUGAGAAGGUUAAGGAGGUAGGAUUUGAAAUGGCUAUUGGAUCAUCUGGGACAGUUAGAGCGAUCGAGAAGGCGAGUUUUUCAGGUUAUGCACGGGGGAUGGCAGAUGAUUUUCUGCUGUUUGGGGAGUUUAAGAGGGAUUGGAAAUUCACAAGAGGAGAAUUGGAGAGUCUUGUUCAGAGGUUGUGCAAUGGGGGAGGGGAAGAGAAGGUAAGGAGAGAGGGGUUUUUCAAGAGGCGGUCCGAGUUUAUUGUUGCAGGUGCAGUUUUGUUGGAAGAGAUAUUUGAAAUGCUUGACAUUGAGGAAAUGGAGGUUUCUGGGUAUGCAUUGGGAGAAGGGAUUAUUGCUGAGAGUCUAGCUUUGGUCUGUGAUAACUAUGACUUGAAUGCAAAUGCAAGGUGGCAUUCGGUUGUGAGCCUUGCGACAAGAUUCAAUGGCAAGAAGAGGAUGAAGGUUGCUGCAUCCUGUGCUGGGAUUGCAAAGGAAAUUUUUGAAGGCUUAAGAACACAUUAUGUGGUCGUGGAAAAUAAAGACAAACUUACAGUUUCCAUAGAUGAUCAGGAUCUUGAAUAUCUUGAAGCUGCAUGCUUGCUUCACAACAUUGGUCUAUUUGCUGGUCGAAAGGGCUAUCAUAAGCAGUCUUACCAUCUUAUCAUGAAUGGUGAUCAUCUUUAUGGUUACAGUGCCGACGAGGUCAAAUUAAUUGCACUACUUGUAAGACAUCACAGGAAGAAAUUCCCAAAAUUUGAUCAUUCGUCUCUCAAAGGUUUCCCUAAAGAGGUGAAGCAGAAAUUCAGAAUCCUUUGUGCAAUUAUACGCAUAUCUGUCAUACUGCAGCAGUAUGAGUGUGCGAAUCUUGAAGAAAUGGGAUUCUCGAUUUCUCCUGAUGGCUUAAACCUAGUAUUCAAUAAAGUAAAAGAUCGACCUGUUAUGCCUGGCCUUGUGCAAGCUUUGGCUGAUGACUUUGAGGCAGAAAGAAGGCAAGAGUUAGAACACUUUAAAAUGAAAUGAGUAGCAGAAGGCAUCAUCACUUGUACGUAUUUUAUCGCAUUAUCCAAUUUCACUGCAUGAAAAUGUUGCAAUACUUUUGAGGGUGCUCUGUUGCCAGCUGAGGAAAAGAAAGAAAAUAAGAUUGGUGUUGUUUUGGUGUUUGAAGAUGAGAAAUCCCACCAAGCCAGCCAAUUUUUUGUAAUGGGCUCAAGCUCAAGUAGUGCAGAUAUCUAUUUUUUCACUUUCUCAAGGCUCAAAUAUGAAGUGUUUAAUUUGUAAUUCUUGUUUUCCUCCUGUGAGUCCUCUCAAAAACUUAUCUGGAGCAUGAAAGCUAGAGAGCUAUUGAAGGUGGGCCUGGGUGAAGACUGAGCAUUUAUCCUUGAAGGUUGUGAAUUAUUUGGAAGAUUUACAAGCAUUCAUCAAAUUACCCCUGGACCAGAUUUGGUGCAAACAUUGCUUGAGCACACCUUCAUCCUGGUUAGAACCAUUCAAGAAGGCACUUGUCUAAGACUGAACUUCUGUUGCCCUAGGUAAAAAUUCUGAUAGACUGAAUUUCUAGUGCCUAUUUUGACCUGCCAUGCAGUGCAUUAACAUUCCACUCAAAUUUGGGAUGGAGCCCAAAGUUGCAAGCUGACCCAUGCUAAAGCAUUGCGUCUUUGAUACACAUUUUACUAUGGACAAUGCAUUUCAUGCUGCAUUUUACAAGGCAGAGAAAAAAAAAAAUAUCAGUUUAUCCUGCAUCAAAUCUCCAGGAGUAAUGUUCAGUUUGUGAGCCUUUUGCAGAAACAUGAGAGGGGGAAAUGACAUUGGACAAAUUCUAUUUCAGUGAGGGUAGGAGGAAGGGCGGAGGGAAUUGGUGCUUGAUUAUGUUUAUGACAACAUGUGUCUAAUACUAACAAUUUGUGUCGGUGAGAUGACUUUAUAAGGCUUUCAGUUCGGAUAUUUGUAUUAUAUGUUUAGAAUCGAGUGAAACUACUAGCCAUUUGUUUCUCCAUUGUUCAGUGGCUAAGCAGCAUUGGGUCUAUCUGUUUUCGGGUUUUUUGAGGGUUUGCUGCUACCAUGGACUGUUGACAGUUUCUUGUUUGAGGUAGAGAGGAGUAAGAAAGGGAUGGUUAAGGAAGAUGCGCCGUUUUGCUCCUUUUUGGACCUUGUGGAUCGCAAGGAAUGCAAGAGUUCUUAAUCACGAAACAACUCCUUGUUGCUCUCUUUGCUUUCUUUUGGGCUUACUCCUGAGAGUUUAUCUCCAUGUUUGGCCUUUUAUAUAUCGCAUUGGGUCUAUCUGUUUUCGGGUUUUAUGAGGGUUUGCUGCUACCAUGGACUGUUGACAGUUUCUUGUUUGAGGUAGAGAGGAGUAAGAAAGGGGUGGUUUGAGGAAGAUGCGCCGUUUUGCUCCUUUUUGGACCUUGUGGAUCGAAAGGAAUGCAAGAGUUCUUAAUCACGAAACAACUCCUUGUUGCUCUCUUUGCUUUCUUUUGGGCUACUCCCGAGAGUUUAUCUCGAUGUUUGGCCUACGAAAGUAAGUUGUUGUUGUUAUUGUAAUUAUAUUUUGUUUUUUUAGGACUUCAUAAUUAUUUCCCUUUAUUUUAAUGAAAUUCUUUUCCUAUGACCGAAAAAAAAAAAAACAUUCAUCAUGA